CCGGGCGCCCCCCCGGCCGCGCCAUCCCGCGCCUCCCCGCUCGGCGCCCGCGCGUCCCCGCCGCGCUCCGGCGUCUCUUCGGCGCGCCCGGCUCCCGGCUGUCCCCGCCCGGCGUGCGGGCCGGUGUAUGGGCCUCUCACCAUGUCGCUGAAGCCCCAGCAGCAGCAGCAGCAGCAGCAGCAGCAGCAGCCGCCCGCGGCUGCCAAUGCCCGUAAGCCCGGUGGCAGCGGCGGCCUUCUCACGUCGCCCGCCACCGCGCCGUCGCCGUCCUCAAUCUCGUCGUCUUCGGCAGUGGCUUCCUCCUCCUCGGUGGCGGCGGCGAGCGCAGGCGGCGGGCGGCCCGGCCUGGGCAGAGGUCGAAACAGCAAAGGACUGCCUCAAUCUACGAUUUCUUUUGAUGGAAUCUAUGCAAAUAUGAGGAUGGUUCAUAUACUUACAUCAGUUGUUGGAUCCAAAUGUGAAGUACAAGUGAAAAACGGAGGUAUAUAUGAAGGAGUUUUUAAAACCUACAGUCCUAAGUGUGAUUUGGUACUUGAUGCUGCACAUGAGAAAAGUAUGGAAUCCAGUUCGGGGCCAAAACGUGAAGAAAUAAUGGAGAGUAUUUUGUUCAAGUGUUCAGACUUUGUUGUGGUACAGUUUAAAGACAUGGACUCCAGUUAUGCAAGAAGAGACGCUUUUACCGACUCUGCUAUCAGUGCUAAAGUGAAUGGUGAACACAAAGAGAAGGACCUGGAGCCCUGGGAUGCAGGUGAACUCACUACCAGUGAGGAACUGGAGGCUUUGGAAAACGACGUAUCUAAUGGAUGGGAUCCCAAUGAUAUGUUUCGAUAUAAUGAAGAAAAUUAUGGUGUAGUGUCUACAUAUGAUAGCAGUUUAUCUUCAUAUACGGUACCCUUAGAAAGGGAUAACUCAGAAGAAUUUUUAAAACGAGAAGCAAGGGCAAACCAGUUAGCAGAAGAAAUUGAAUCAAGUGCCCAGUACAAAGCCCGAGUGGCCCUGGAAAAUGAUGAUAGGAGUGAAGAAGAAAAAUACACAGCAGUUCAGAGAAAUUCGAGUGAACGUGAGGGCCACGGCAUAAACACUAGGGAAAAUAAAUAUAUUCCUCCUGGACAAAGAAACAGAGAAGUCAUAUCCUGGGGAAGUGGGAGACAGAAUUCACCGCGUAUGGGCCAGCCUGGAUCGGGCUCCAUGCCGUCAAGAUCCACCUCUCACACUUCAGAUUUCAACCCGAAUUCUGGUUCAGACCAAAGAGUAGUUAAUGGAGGUGUUCCCUGGCCAUCGCCUUGCCCAUCUCCUUCCUCUCGCCCACCUUCUCGCUACCAGUCAGGUCCCAACUCUCUUCCACCUCGGGCAGCCACCCCUACACGGCCGCCCUCCAGGCCCCCCUCGCGGCCAUCCAGACCCCCGUCUCACCCCUCUGCUCAUGGUUCUCCAGCUCCUGUCUCUACUAUGCCUAAACGCAUGUCUUCAGAAGGGCCUCCGAGGAUGUCCCCAAAGGCCCAGCGACACCCUCGAAAUCACAGAGUUUCUGCUGGGAGGGGUUCCAUUUCCAGUGGCCUAGAAUUUGUAUCCCAUACUCCACCAAGUGAAGCAGCUGCUCCUCCAGCAGCAAGGACCAGUCCUGCGGGGGGCACAUGGUCAUCAGUGGUCAGCGGGGUUCCAAGAUUAUCCCCUAAAACUCACAGACCCAGGUCUCCCAGACAGAACAGUAUUGGAAAUACUCCUCCUGGGCCAGUUCUUGGUUCUCCCCAAGCUGGUAUUAUUCCAGCUGAAGCUGUUGCUAUGCCUGUUCCAGCUGCAUCUCCCACGCCUGCCAGUCCUGCAUCCAAUAGAGCUGUUACCCCAUCUAUUGAGGCUAAGGAUUCCAGGCUUCAAGAUCAGAGGCAGAAUUCUCCUGCAGGGAAUAAAGAAAAUAUGAAGCCCAGUGAAACAUCACCUAGCUUCUCAAAGACUGAAAAUAAAGGUAUAUCCCCAAUUGUUUCUGAACAUAGAAAACAGAUUGAUGACUUAAAGAAGUUUAAGAAUGAUUUUAGGUUACAGCCAAGUUCUACUUCUGAAUCUAUGGAUCAACUGCUAAACAAAAAUAGAGAGGGAGAAAAAUCAAGAGAUUUGGUCAAAGACAAAAUUGAACCAAAUGCUAAGGAUUCUUUCGUUGAAAAUAGCAGCAGCAAUUGCACCAGUGGCAGCAGCAAACCGAGCAGUCCCAGCAUUUCCCCUUCAGUCCUCAGUAAUGCGGAACACAAGAGGGGACCUGAGGUCACAUCCCAAGGGGUUCAGACUUCCAGUCCGGGAUGCAAACAAGAUAAAGAUGAUAAAGAGGAGAAGAAAGAUGCAGCUGAGCAAGUGAGAAAAUCAACACUGAAUCCUAAUGCAAAGGAGUUUAACCCUCGUUCCUUUUCUCAGCCAAAGCCUUCUACCACCCCAACUUCACCUCGUCCUCAAGCACAACCUAGCCCAUCUAUGGUGGGUCAUCAGCAGCCAGCUCCAGUUUAUACUCAGCCUGUCUGUUUUGCACCAAAUAUGAUGUAUCCAGUCCCAGUGAGCCCAGGCGUGCAACCAUUAUACCCUAUACCUAUGACGCCCAUGCCAGUGAAUCAAGCCAAGACAUAUAGAGCAGGUAAAGUACCAAAUAUGCCCCAACAGCGGCAAGACCAGCAUCAUCAGAGCACCAUGAUGCACCCAGCCUCAGCAGCAGGCCCACCGAUUGUGGCCACCCCACCAGCUUAUUCCACACAAUAUGUUGCCUAUAGUCCUCAGCAGUUUCCAAAUCAGCCUCUUGUUCAGCAUGUGCCACAUUAUCAGUCUCAGCAUCCUCAUGUCUAUAGUCCUGUAAUACAGGGUAAUGCUAGAAUGAUGGCACCACCAGCACAUGCCCAGCCUGGUUUAGUGUCUUCUUCAGCAACUCAGUACGGGGCUCAUGAGCAGACGCAUGCGAUGUAUGCAUGCCCCAAAUUACCAUACAACAAGGAGACAAGCCCUUCUUUCUACUUUGCCAUUUCCACUGGCUCCCUUGCUCAGCAGUAUGCGCACCCUAAUGCUACCCUGCACCCACAUACUCCACAUCCUCAGCCUUCAGCUACUCCCACCGGACAGCAGCAAAGCCAACAUGGUGGAAGUCAUCCUGCACCCAGUCCGGUUCAGCACCAUCAGCACCAGGCCGCCCAGGCGCUCCAUCUGGCCAGUCCACAGCAGCAGUCAGCCAUUUACCACGCGGGGCUCGCACCAACCCCACCUUCCAUGACCCCUGCCUCCAAUACGCAGUCGCCACAGAAUAGUUUCCCAACAGCACAACAGACCGUCUUUACGAUUCAUCCUUCUCAUGUUCAGCCGGCAUACACCAAUCCUCCCCACAUGGCCCAUGUACCUCAGUUCUGGUUCAAGGUAUCUCUAGAAAAAGACAAGACUGAGACAUUCUCUUUGGUGGAUAAAGGUCCGCUCCAGAAGGAGGAAGGCUGGCCAGAGCUGGGCAGCACUGAGAUCCCACAUCCUCAGCCUGACGCUGGUUCUAAAUGAUCAAAGGCAGAAGAUUUAUACCAGAUAAAGCCAUAUGGAUUGCUGGUCUAAAAUUCAAGGCAGGGUCACGAGAUGAUCAAUGGCUGCUCCCAGCACAGGCCAAAAGCAGAUGAGAACGAAGGAAGAAGGCAGAGAUGAUGGGGGAAUUGGUGGGAAAACCCAACUGGGCCCCUGCCUCCAGUACCUCUUCUCUUCCCCUGGGGCCAGGAGACAUCCAGGUGACCAGGCUGAGCAAGCCAGCAUGGGGCAGAGGCAGAGAGAUGGAAACGAGGCAGGCCCAAAGGCUAGUUUUUGGUGCUGUGGCUUUGAGGGGAAUCCGACCUCCGCAUCUCAGGCAGAAGUUACCUUUUCAGAAAGCAGGGCAAGAGCCCAUACCCACAGCCGUGCGUGUGACUGCUUCAGACAUGCAGGCACCAGGAGUCUCCGAUAGAAGAAUGGUAUCUUUAGGGCCAGGCCACCUGCCUUCAGCCCCUCCCCACCCACUGGAGCGCUGGUGAACAAGGAGGCAAGGAGCAGCCUGGCAGGAGAGGAUUGGCCAGACUGGGGCUCUUUCCCAAUCCAGGCCCACCCCCAGCAGUCUGGGGGGAGUGACAACGCUAGGAGCCAAGCCCCUGACGCUUACCCGUGGUGGACUGCAUCGUCAGACUGAUGUUAUGGAGGAGGGAGCCAGCUCAGUCGAUCCCAGCCCUAAGCGACCAGUGCCAGCCAGGAUGUUUUUAUCUUUCAAGUUUUCCCCCACACCCCAAUUUCUCAGCCUGGGAUGGGAGCCCAUGACAUGUGGGGAACACAGGAGUCUUGUGCAGUACCUACAUGGCCCCUGGGCGUGCCAGAGUGCCCAGGACUGGCAGCUUUCACAGCCAGUCUCUUAGAGCCUCUAUUUCCCUUGUGUAAAAUGGGUAAGGUACAAGGCUGUUUCCUUCCUUCUCCUUUUGCAGUUGGCUCUGCUUGGCCCCCAAGCCUCCCUACUGGCUCUGGGCCCUCAGGAUCACUGGGAGGAAGUAGGCCAGGCCAAGAGGGGAACAGGCCUAGUCUCCCUUUCGGUUCUGCUCUGGGCCUUGGCCCCAGGGUGAAUGCUGAGAUUAACCAGCAAAGCCACUGGUUUCACUCUGAAUGUGGGGCCUUCAUGCCAGCACUCUCCCAGCAGCUGAGGAACUGCUGACCUGGCAGGCAGUGGUAAAGCGAGGAUUCCCCCUCCUCACCCACAGCCAGCCCUGGCUGCACAGAUGCUGGCUCCCAUCUGCCCACUGGCUACGAUGACACGGGUUCUUCCUGACUCUUCUCCGGCAGCCUGUGGGAGAGCUGCCCCAGCCAGCCCAGUUGUCACGCUUGGAGCCACAGAGCGAGGGGCAGAGCCAGGAUCUGAACCCCAGCGCUGAUGUACCAAAUUGUGCUGUCUGGAGGUGGGGAGAGGCCAGAGGCUCUGCCCAGGCUGGAGGCGAGUGAGAGAGCAUGGGGCAGAAUAAACCCGGCCUGUGGCCACAGCCCUAGCUGGAUGGCCCCAGAGCAGGACUUGGGAGCACUAGUCAUAUGUAGAAGGACCAGUGGCUGCCUUUCUGGUUGAGCAGUGUGAUGAGACAGAACCGGAUGGAGCGCUGAGCCCAAACUCUGGGGCUGUGUUAGCAGCUACCCGAGCGUUAGUUUGAUUGAAAUGGCUGCACCGCUCCAGAUACUGUGGUACAAGCAGUCGCAUGUCAACACAACAUAGCCCCACCCCCACAACUGGGGAGGAAGUUCCAGCUCCCAGGAUCCACAAAGCUGGCAGCUUUCCAAUGGCCACUGUGACUCCAGGGGAAUAACCUAUUUCUUUCUUUGCCUUGGCUGCUAGGAAGCUCAAAGGCAAAGCUACAGAUCAGCUCUGACAUUGUCCCCACCAUAAGGCUGGCAUUUCUACAGCUGAUUGUAUCUAGGCUUUAUACUUGUCUUAUCCUUCUAGGUGUUACUGUUCAGUCCUAUCCAGUCCUGUCCUUGCCUCCUCUUGUAUAACCCUGGACAGGCAGCUGUUGUUUGGUGUUUAUUUUUGAGAGAGCACGAGCCAGGGAGGGGCAGAGAGUGAGGGAGACACUGAGCUGUCAGCACAGAGCCUGACGUGGGGCUCAAACUCACGAACGGUGAGAUCGUGACCUGGGCU